rnacentral:rRNA from 1 species
CCUGCGUGCGCUUUACGCCCAGUAAUUCCGAUUAACGCUUGCACCCUACGUAUUACCGCGGCUGCUGGCACGUAGUUAGCCGGUGCUUAUUCUUCAGGUACCGUCAUUAGUAAUAGUUAUUCGCUACUACCGUUUCUUCCCUGACAAAAGAGCUUUACAACCCGAAGGCCUUCUUCACUCACGCGGCAUUGCUGGAUCAGGGUUGCCCCCAUUGUCCAAAAUUCCCCACUGCUGCCUCCCGUAGGAUUCUGGGCCGUGUCUCAGUCCCAGUGUGGCUGAUCGUCCUCUCAGACCAGCUACUGAUCGUCGCCUUGGUGAGCCUUUACACUCACCAACUAGCUAAUCAGACAUCGGCCGCUCCUAUAGCAUGAGGYYUUGCGGUCCCCCACUUUCAYCCUCAGGUCGUAUGCGGUAUUAGCUAAUCUUUCGACUAGUUAUCCCCCACUACUAGGGCACGUUCCGAUAUAUUACUCACCCGUUCGCCACUCGCCAUCAAUCUAGCAAGCUMGAUCAUGCUGCCGUUCGACUUGCAUGUGUAAGGCAUGCCGCCRGCGUUCAAUCUGAGCCAGGAUCAAACUCUCCA